GACGAACGCUGGCGGCGUGCUUAACACAUGCAAGUCGAACGGAAAGGCCCUGCGUUUGUGGGGUGCUCGAGUGGCGAACGGGUGAGUAACACGUGAGUAACCUGCCCUUGACUUUGGGAUAACUUCAGGAAACUGGGGCUAAUAUCGGAUAGGAGCUCCUGCUGCAUGGUGGGGGUUGGAAAGUUUCGGCGGUUGGGGAUGGACUCGCAGCUUAUCAGCUUGUUGGUGAGGUAGUGGCUUACCAAGGCUUUGACGGGUAGCCGGCCUGAGAGGGUGACCGGCCACAUUGGGACUGAGAUACGGCCCAGACUCCUACGGGCGGCAGCAGUGGGGAAUAUUGCACAGUGGGCGGAAGCCUGAUGCAGCAACGCCGCGUGCGGGAUGACGGCCUUCGGGUUGUAAACCGCUUUCGCCUGUGACGAAGCGUGAGUGACGGUAAUGAGUAAAGAAGCACCGGCUAACUACGUG
rnacentral:rRNA from 1 species